rnacentral:rRNA from 1 species
UGGGGAAUAUUGGACAAUGGGGGCAACCCUGAUCCAGCCAUGCCGCGUGUGUGAAGAAGGCCUUCGGGUUGUAAAGCACUUUAAGUUGGGAGGAAGGCUAUUUGGUGAAUACCCAAGUAGAUUGACGUUACCAACAGAAUAAGCACCGGCUAACUCCGUGCCAGCAGCCGCGGUAAUACGGAGGGUGCAAGCGUUAAUCGGAAUUACUGGGCGUAAAGCGCGCGUAGGCGGCCAUUUAAGCUAGAUGUGAAAGCCCCGGGCUUAACCUGGGAAUUGCAUUUAGAACUGGAUGGCUAGAGUAUGGGAGAGGAGUGUGGAAUUUCAGGUGUAGCGGUGAAAUGCGUAGAGAUCUGAAGGAACAUCAGUGGCGAAGGCGACACUCUGGCCCAAUACUGACGCU